UUCAGCUGUAGGUUAUAACAGAAUGGCACAAUUAUAAAACAAAACAUGACAACAAAGAAAUAAAUGAAAUGACCCCUGUUUAAAAGUCUGCAUUCCCUUAGUUCUUAAUACUGUGUAUUGACCACUUUAGCAUCAAUGACAGCGUGCAGUCUUUUCUAAUAGCUCUCUAUGAGGCCCCUAAUUCUUGCAGAUGGUAUAGCUGCCCAUUGGUCUUAGCAAAAUGCCUCCAGGUCAUGCAAAGUCUUUGUUCGUCUUACAUGAACCGCACGUUUCAGAUCUCCCCAGGGUGGCUCGAUGAUACUAAGGUCAGGAGACUGUGAUGGCCACUCCAGAACCUUCACCUUUUCAUGCUGUAACCACUGGAGGGUCAACUUGGUCUUGUGCUUAGGGUUGUUGUCAUGCUGGAAAGUCCAAGAGCAUCCUAUGGGCAGCCUUCGUGCAGAAGAAUGCAAAUUGUCUGCCAGUAUUUUCUGAUAACAUGCAGCAUUAAUCUUGCCAUCAAUUUUCACAAGAUUCCCCGAGCUCACAACCCUCAAAACAUCCGUGAGUCACUACCAUGCUUCACAGUGGGGAUGGUAUUCUUUUCACUAUAGGCCCCUCUCCAAACAUAGUGAUUAUGAUUGUGACCAUAAAUCUCUAAUUGGUCUCGUCACUCCAAGUUCUGGUGUGUCAGAAGCUGUGAGACGUGUCAACGUGUUGUCGGGCAUAUUGUAAAAUGCUGUUUUAUUUGGCAUUGGUGCAAUAAAGGCUUCUUUCUGGCAACUCGAUAAUGCAGCUCAUUAUAGUCGUAUUGGGCUCCUUGAAGUGAGAUUGUGUGUGUGUGGUCCUGUUAGUGAGUGAGCUUGUAUGUGUAUGUGUGUGUAUAUGCCUGUUAGUGAGUGAGAUUGUAUGUGUAUGUGUGUGUAUAUGCCUGUUAGUGAAUGAGAUUGUAUGUGUAUGUGUGUGUGUGUGUGUGUAUGUGCCUGUUAGUUAGAGAGAUUGUGUGUGUGUUCCUGUUGGUGAGUGAGAUUGUGUGUGUGUG